UAUAAAAAAACAUCAGGAAAGGUUUUUUGUUUGUUUUUGUUUUGUUUUGUUUUUGUUUUUGUUUUUCAUAUAAAAGGCCAAAAGUAGGGAAGUGACAGAAAGGCUGAUUGCCGACCUUUUCAGAGCUUACUUAUUUUAAACAAUUACACUGACUCAUAAAAUAAAAGUAUUUCUUGUGCCCCGGUCAAAAGCAAGUGGAUUUUUACUUUAAGGGUGAAUAAUAAGAAUGCUUUGGGGAUGACGAAUAAAAGGGCUUCCCCCGGCUAGCCGAGGCGGAGCCAUCGGGGAUAUACCAUCUCUCCUCGUCGAUCUGGAAGGCUUUCUGAAGGAACUGGGGUUUGUGUCCCUGGCACGCCCGGGACCUGCGUGGGGCUCAGCGCGCUGCCAGGCGACCUCAGCAGCCCAGAGCUUCAACGGUUGCUGUGGCAACAGGCCGCCCAGAGCAGCAGUCAAAGUCCCUGCGUGAGCGACUGCACUUCCCAAGCGCGGAGAGUCUGCCCAAUGAGUUCCGCCCUCUCUAGCGCGCUUUCUGUGAUCCACCAAUCAGGCUCUGCCACGCCCGAGCUGAGUGGUCAGCUUGCCUGGGAGGGCGGGGUUAGGGUGCAGAAACAGGACGGAGAAGGGGGCUGUAUUUCCCCUGGCGUGUGAAAUGGAUGUUAGUGACUAAAGCUCAAUUUUCCAGUUAAGGGAGGAGCCGAGACUUUUAAGUCGAGUGUUCCUGUGGGGCCAAAAGGAUGGUUUCAGAGAAAUCCCAGGAAGUGAGAGUGCUGGGAUAUGCGAGGGGCCCACGGAGCCCUCCCCUGCGUGUCUGAGAUCACACCCUGCGGGUACCCUGCCGUCGUGUGCUGAAGGAGGUGACUGGAUCUCGACUCCAGAGUUUGCUCCUGAGAUCGAAAAACAAAACAACCCAAUAAUAGUAAUGACAGCCCUGGGUGGGGACAGUUGCAGCAGGUCUCAUGAGAAACUCACUAAUUUUGUAGGUUCAGGGAAGGCGUGGGCAUGUUGGUGAAGUAAGGUUCUGAGUGGAAGAAGAAAAUGCUGCUUCUGGGGAAGAGAAUACCGUCAGAAGGAAGGAAAGAAAGGAGGGAGUGGGAGGGGAGGGGAAAUCAAGGGAGAGGAGAAGAGGGGAGGAGGGAAGGUGAGGUGAGGUGAUUGGUAUUCUGCCAAUCCCAUUCUGCACACUAGUGAGACCUAGCAAGGACUAGAGUUUCAGGGGGAAAAUACGAGAAUAAUGAAAGAUAACAGAGAGGAAAGAAAAAAGAAAUAAUUGAAAAGUUUGAAAGAAGAAAGACAACAGCUGAACCAAUGGAGGUGAAAAUAGAAGGAAAUGAAAAUUCUGCAAGCUUUUGUUUCAUGGAUAAAAGGACUGUAUUUUCUGGUCCAUUAUCAGGAUACAAGAUGGAAAAAAAAGCUAUUGAACUUGUGGAGAAAGUGGCUGGUUUAAAUUAGUCCUGUCCCUGAAAAUCCAAGCUGCGUGUUUGUCAGUCUUAUGGCUGAUUUAACUCAUAGGCCCAGGAGAGAAAGGAUAGAAGGAAGCCUGAAUGACCAGCAAAGAAUCUGCAUCCAAUCAACACUCAGAGCAUGUAUGCUACAUUCUUCAGAAACCUUCAGGAGUCAUAGACUGUGGUCAGUUCUUCGUCAGAAUUAUUUUAGAUUUACUUCAGUUGUUUUUUCAUCAAAUGCACAUAAAACAUGGAAUUGUUCUUAGCUGUGCAGACCUUGUCUAUUUUCUGAAAGGAAAAACAAUGUUAAUUUUUAAAGCCCUACAUACAUUACAUCUUUGUACUUUUCAAAUCAUUGUGUCACCCCCUUCCCUUCUCUUUUGAAGGUGCCUGGCUGAAUCUCUCCUAUUCUCACAAUGGCUUUGCCUCCAUUCUGCUGAAGUCGCUUCCCAUUGCUCACAUUAUUAUACUGUUUUUACUUCACUUCCAAGCUUGUUUCUGACUACACAAAGGGUGCUGUAAUUCUGAGUUCCCUAUAUAUAGAGUUGCUUUUCCAGGAACAUUAUGUCUUGAUUUAAGUUCCUGAACUCUGCCCACCACCACCAGCAGCCAUGACUUCUUGGCAAGACUCCAAACCCCUCCCUACCUUCACUCUUUAGAGAGAAAGGCUAGACUUACAGGGUGACCAAUAAUGCUGGUUUAUCCAAGAAGGGGAUUCCCAAGACACAGGGCUGUCAGUGCUAAACCAGGGUGUUCCUGUCCAACUUGGCUUCCAUAAGAACUUCAAUCAAAUUCACAGACCACAUUCAAAUUUGUCAAUUGUCCUAAUAAUAGCU
rnacentral:lncRNA from 10 species